UACGUAGGGCGCAAGCGUUGUCCGGAAUUAUUGGGCGUAAAGAGCUCGUAGGCGGCCAGUUGCGUCUGCUGUGAAAUCCCGGGGCUCAACCCCGGGCUUGCAGUGGAUACGGGCUGGCUGGAGGCAGGCAGGGGAGAACGGAAUUCCCGGUGUAGCGGUGAAAUGCGCAGAUAUCGGGAGGAACACCGGUGGCGAAGGCGGUUCUCUGGGCCUGUACUGACGCUGAGGAGCGAAGCG
rnacentral:rRNA from 1 species